rnacentral:rRNA from 1 species
GAUGAACGCUGGCGGCGUGCCUAAUACAUGCAAGUCGAGCGAACAGAUAAGGAGCUGGCUCCUUUGCCGUUAGCGGCGGACGGGUGAGUAACACGUGGGUAACCUACCUAUAAUACUGGGAUAACUUCGGGAAACCGGAGCUAAUACCGGAUAACAGUUGGAACCGCAUGCUUCUAAAGUGAAAGAUGGUUUUGCUAUCACUUAUAGAUGGACCCGCGCCGUAUUAGCUAGUUGGUAAGGUAACGGCUUACCAAGGCGACGAUACGUAGCCGACCUGAGAGGGUGAUCGGCCACACUGGAACUGAGACACGGUCCAGACUCCUACGGGAGGCAGCAGUAGGGAAUCUUGCGCAAUGGGCGGAAACCUGACGGAGCAAAGCCGCGUGAGUGAUGAAGGGGUUCGGCUCGUAAAACUCUGUUAUUAGGGAAGAACAAACGUGUAAGUAACUGUGCACGUCUUGACGGUACCUAAUCAGAAAGCCCCGGCUAACUACGUG